ACUCCUACGGGAGGCAGCAGUGGGGAAUUUUGGACAAUGGGCGCAAGCCUGAUCCAGCCAUUCCGCGUGAGUGAAGAAGGCCUUCGGGUUGUAAAGCUCUUUCGCAAGGGAAGAAACGAUGCAGACGAAUAAUCUGCGUUAAUGACGGUACCUUGAUAAGAAGCACCGGCUAACCACGUGCCAGCAGCCGCGGUAAU
rnacentral:rRNA from 1 species